CACAAAUCCCAACAGCAAGACCAACUGAAGCAAAAAUUUAGUAUACCUCAGGUCUCAACCAUCUAUUAGCAGCCAUGUUGAGAAGUUAUUGAAGGAUGAGAAAAUAGAAGAAGAAAGUUUAGUUAUUAGUUAUUAGUUAUUCCCUGUUCUUGCUUUCAAAGAAACUUACUUGUAAAACAAGAACAAGGAACAAAGCUGAGGAAUAAAGCUUGUGAGACAAGUAUAUAUAUAUAUAUAUAUAUAUAUAUAUAUAUAUAUUGAUGCUAAUAUUAAAGGGUUAAUGUAUAGUGAAUGAUAGGUUUUCCUAGUUGCUCGCCUUUAAAUAUGGGCCUUUGCUUUUUUUGUACUACUCUUCUAUUUUUUGUAAAAUUAUGA